ACUUGGUCGGCGAUUUAAUAUUAUCAGAACAUAGGAAAUUGUUAGUAUUAGUUGUGCGACCAGGAGA
rnacentral:pre_miRNA from 1 species